rnacentral:rRNA from 1 species
GGUUACUGCUAUCGAGGUUCGACUAAGCCAUGCGAGUCGAAUGUAGCAAUACAUGGCGAACUGCUCAGUAACACGUGGACAACCUGCCCUUAGGUUGGGUAUAAACCCGGGAAACUGGGUAUAAUACCCGAUAGGUCUCGAUUGCUGGAAUGCAUCGAGAUUUAAAGCUCCGGCGCCUAAGGAUGGGUCUGCGGCCUAUCAGGUAGUAGUGGGUGUAGCGUACCUACUAGCCUACGACGGGUACGGGUUGUGAGAGCAAGAGCCCGGAGAUGGAUUCUGAGACACGAAUCCAGGCCCUACGGGGUGCAGCAGGCGCGAAAACUUUACAAUGCUGGCAACAGCGAUAAGGGAACCUCGAGUGCCAGGUUACAAAUCUGGCUGUCGAGAUGCCUAAAAAGCAUUUCAUAGCAAGGGCCGGGCAAGACCGGUGCCAGCCGCCGCGGUAACACCGGCGGCUCGAGUGGUAACCGCUAUUAUUGGGUCUAAAGGGUCUGUAGCCGGCCGGAUAAGUCUCUUGAGAAAUCUGGCAGCUUAACUGUCAGGCUUUCAGGAGAUACUGUCUGGCUCGAGGCCGGGAGAGGUGAGAGGUACUUCAGGGGUAGGGGUGAAAUCUUGUAAUCCUUGAAGGACCACCAGUGGCGAAGGCGUCUCACCAGAACGGACCUGACGGCAAGGGACGAAAGCUAGGGGCACGAACCGGAUUAGAUACCCGGGUAGUCCUAGCC